UUUCAAACUUUUUCCUCUGCUUUGACAUAGUUUGGCAGCAGAUCUGGAUUCUGAAAUAUCUCUUCCUAAAGAGACUGAGAUCAAUCUGAACACAUAUUCCAGGAUUCAAGUAAAUUGCUAAGGAAAAUGCAAGGAAGGAGGGACCUUCCAAUGACUCAUUUUGACAUCAGAAGAGGGGACUGAAGGAAAGUCCCCACAGUCCCCAGGAGAAAUGAACAACCAGGGAAAGCUACUUGCUGAGACCCCUGAAUUUGCUGCACCUUUGGAGGUGCUGGGGAUCCAGCAAUGCUACAUGAUUGAGCUGUAGGAUGAGGAUGAUCUGGCCCCAGAGAAGCUGUAUCUGCCACCAGAGAUAACAACUUUCACAUGGAGAGCAGAGAGAAUGUUUCCUGGACAAAGGGAAUGACUGACAGAUAUUAAACGGGAGGAAAUUGAAGGCUCUGCCAAGUUUCAUGAUAAAAUGCUAUUUCUCACGGUAAGGUCAAGCUGUCUCUAGUGCAGCUACUGCUUUUAAAAAUAUAAAGGGAACAAAAACAUUCAACAGAGAGCAUCAGGCUUUGCAAAGAGUAUGUGAUCAAAGGC
rnacentral:lncRNA from 1 species